rnacentral:lncRNA from 1 species
UCUUUUAUUGUCCUGAUUUAAAGAAGUUUUUUUAAAUCAGAUAGGCAUGAAGAAUUAUUAACAUCCGAUACUUCAAUUUCUUUAAAAAAAAAUGCCUACCUACCUACCCACUGUCUUAACCUUGGGUAGGGUUUGGGCAAACCAAAAUAUUUUUAAUUGUGGCCUGGCUUCCAAUAAACAGAAUACCCUUAAAAUUAAAAAAAAAUAAUUUUUUUUUGCAUGUAUCCCAACACUUAUCUUUCCUUUCCUUUUCCAUUGCAAAUAAACAUGUUAAAAUAGAU